GCUGGAUGGAAUACUUUUAAAGGCAUCAGAUCCCAUUUGAUAUUGGAAGCUAAGCAGGGUCAGGUUUGGAUAGUAUUUGAAUGAGAGCCCACCAAUAAAUACCAGAUGCUGUGGGCU
rnacentral:rRNA from 1 species